AGGGGUUUGAUCAUGGCUCAGGACGAACGCUGGCGGCGUGCCUAACACAUGCAAGUCGAGCGAGAAAGCUCCUUCGGGGGUUAGUAAAGCGGCGGACGGGUGAGUAACACGUGAGCGAUCUACCCAAGGGUGGGGGACAACUCAGGGAAACUUGAGCUAAUACCGCGUACAGCGCCGGCUUGGAAGCCUGGCGUGAAAGCUGGCCUCUACUUGUAAGCUAGCGCCCUUGGAUGAGCUCGCGGCCUAUCAGCUUGUUGGUGGGGUAAUGGCCUACCAAGGCGAUGACGGGUAGCUGGCGUGAGAGCGCGACCAGCCACACUGGGACUGAGACACGGCCCAGACUCCUACGGGAGGCAGCAGUGGGGAAUAUUGCGCAAUGGGCGAAAGCCUGACGCAGCGACGCCGCGUGGGGGAGGAAGGCCUCAGGGUUGUAAACCCCUGUCAGGUGGGACGAAACCCGUAGUGUCUAAUAGGCAUUACGACUGACGGUACCACCAGAGGAAGCUCCGGCUAACUCCGUGCCAGCAGCCGCGGUAAUACGGGGGGAGCAAGCGUUGUUCGGAAUUACUGGGCGUAAAGGGCGCGUAGGCGGCCAGGUCAGUCGCAUGUGAAAGGCCGGGGCUCAACCCCGAGCACUGCAUGCGAUACUGCUUGGCUCGAGAGAGGUAGGGGCGAGUGGAAUUCCCGGUGUAGCGGUGGAAUGCGUAGAUAUCGGGAGGAACACCUGUGGCGAAGGCGGCUCGCUGGACNUUUCUGACGCUGAAGCGCGAAAGCGUGGGUAGCAAACA
rnacentral:rRNA from 1 species